GGCCGAGCUUAGCAAAAAGGGUGUUACGACUAUCAUUGGAGGCGGAGACUCUGUUGCGGCUGUUGAGAAGGUGGGGGUUGCUGAUGUUAUGAGCCACAUCUCGACGGGAGGUGGUGCUAGCUUGGAGUUGUUGGAAGGAAAGCAACUUCCUGGAGUCGUUGCAUUGGAUGAAGCUGUCACUGUGGGAUCCGUGACCGUAUGAGGCUAAGCUUCAUUUUGUUGCAUCUUCUUUUUUCCAUGCAUUGUUCUGAAGUCUCCUCCUCCGUCACACCUCUAAAAUCACUCGAUGUAAGACACCAAUGCUUUAUAGAGAAAUACUGGGAACUGUUUGAAUAAACCCCACACCAAUUUGUGUUUACUUGUGCUAUCCUUUCUAACAAAAUUAGCACAAGCAAACGUCUUAAUGUCAGUCAAAUGUAAUGUUGCCUUGGUUCAGCUUUCUGUGCCUGUACCUGCUUUGUUCUUGCAUAACAAUAAGGAUGUUUGAUUUUCGUUGUCUUCUCUUUUCCAGGG
rnacentral:lncRNA from 1 species